CGAACGCUGGCGGCGUGCCUAAUACAUGCAAGUCGAGCGGACUUGAAGGAGUGCUUGCACUCCUGAUGGUUAGCGGCGGACGGGUGAGUAACACGUAGGUAACCUGCCCAUAAGACUGGGAUAACCCACGGAAACGUGAGCUAAUACCAGAUAGGCAUUUUCCUCGCAUGAGGGAGAUGAGAAAGGCGGAGCAAUCUGCCACUUAUGGAUGGACCUGCGGCGCAUUAGCUAGUUGGUAAGGUAACGGCUUACCAAGGCGACGAUGCGUAGCCGACCUGAGAGGGUGAUCGGCCACACUGGGACUGAGACACGGCCCAGACUCCUACGGGAGGCAGCAGUAGGGAAUCUUCCGCAAUGGACGAAAGUCUGACGGAGCAACGCCGCGUGAGUGAUGAAGGUUUUCGGAUCGUAAAGCUCUGUUGCCAGGGAAGAACGCCUAGGAGAGUAACUGCUC
rnacentral:rRNA from 1 species